rnacentral:rRNA from 1 species
UACAGAGGGUGCGAGCGUUAAUCGGAAUUACUGGGCGUAAAGCGUGCGUAGACGGUUAUUUAAGUCGGGUGUGAAAGCCCCGGGCUCAACCUGGGAAUUGCAUUCGAGACUGAAUAGCUAGGGUACGGUAGAGGGAAGUGGAAUUUCCGGUGUAGCGGUGAAAUGCGUAGAUAUCGGAAGGAACAUCAGUGGCGAAAGCGACUUCCUGGACCAGUAUCGACGUUCAGGCACGAAAGCGUGGGGAGCAAACAGGG